AUUGAACGCUGGCGGCAGGCUUAGCACAUGCAAGUCGAGCGGAGAUGAGGUGCUUGCACCUUAUCUUAGCGGCGGACGGGUGAGUAAUGCUUAGGAAUCUGCCUAUUAGGGGGGGACAACAUUCCGAAAGGAAUGCUAAUACCGCAUACGUCCUACGGGAGAAAGCAGGGGAUCUUCGGACCUUGCGCUAAUAGAUGAGCCUAAGUCGGAUUAGCUAGUUGGUGGGGUAAAGGCCUACCAAGGCGACGAUCUGUAGCGGGUCUGAGAGGAUGAUCCGCCACACUGGGACUGAGACACGGCCCAGACUCCUACGGGAGGCAGCAGUGGGGAAUAUUGGACAAUGGGGGGAACCCUGAUCCAGCCAUGCCGCGUGUGUGAAGAAGGCCUUAUGGUUGUAAGGCACUUUAAGCGAGGAGGAGGCUACUGAGACUAAUACUCUUGGAUAGUGGACGUUACUCGCAGAAUAAGCACCGGCUAACUCUGUGCCAGCCGCCGCGGUAAGAC
rnacentral:rRNA from 1 species